AUUGAACGCUAGCGGCAGGAUUAACACAUGAAAGUAGAGCGAGCGGCGGACGGGUGAGUAAUGUCGGGGAAACUGCCUGAGGGAGGGGGAUAACUACUGGAAACGGUAGCUAAUACCGCAUACCAUCAGAGGUGCCCAGAUUGGAUUAGCGAGUAGGGGGGGUAAAGGCGAACCUAGGCGACGAUCCAUAGCUGGUGUGAGAGGAAGACCAGCAACACUGGAACGGAGACACGGUCCAGACUCCGAGGUGAGGCAGCAGUGGGGAAUAUUGCACAAUGGUGGCAAGCCUGAUGCAGCCAUGCGGCGUGUGUGAAGAAGGCCUUCUGGUUGUAAAGCACUUUCAGCGAGGAGGCGUUACUCGCAGAAGAAGCACCGGCGAACUCCGUGCCGGCAGCCGCGGUAAUAC
rnacentral:rRNA from 1 species